rnacentral:ncRNA from 1 species
CAUAAUUUAUUUCUCCGAGUCAAAGGUUCUGUAGCUUUUAAAGCGAUGAACUUUUGACCAAUGGGUAUCACUGGAAACGGUUAUGCCUCCUAUUGUGGAAAGGUGAAAAAAGUACAAGUAC